GGGGAUGUAGCUCAGUGGUAUAGCAUAUGCUUUUUCAUGUAUGAGAUUCUGGGUUCAAACCCCAGCAUCUUCA